AGCGAACGCUGGCGGCAGGCCUAACACAUGCAAGUCGAACGAACCUUUCGGGGUUAGUGGCGGACGGGUGAGUAACACGUGGGAACGUGCCUUUAGGUUCGGAAUAACUCAGGGAAAAUUGUGCUAAUACCGAAUGUGCCCUUCGGGGGAAAGAUUAAUCGCCUUUAGAGCGGCCCGCGUCUGAUUAGCUAGUUGGUUGAGGUAAUGGCUCACCACGGCGACGAUCAGUAGCUGGUCUGAGAGGAUGAUCAGCCACAUUGGGACUGAGACACGGCCCAAACUCCUACGGGAGGCAGCAGUGGGGAAUCUUGCGCAAUGGGCGAAAGCCUGACGCAGCCAUGCCGCGUGAAUGAUGAAGGUCUUAGGAUUGUAAAAUUCUUUCACCGGGGACGAUAAUGACGGUACCCGGAGAAGAAGCCCCGGCUAACUUCGUG
rnacentral:rRNA from 1 species